AGUUCUAUAAGAGAGCGUGUGCCGAAGGCCUCGGCCUUUCACAUUCGGGAAGCGUCGGGAUUAGGUGAAACACCCCGAGAACCGUCAGUUUGAGCCAGAUGGAAGCUGAGCUGAACACAUUACGAUGGAUGAUGGAAACAUAAGACUAUCAAGAAAUCCAAGUGGUAAUGGGCGAAGUUUAUUCAGCAUCCGGCAAUGGACUUAUCGUAGUUGGGGAAACGGGUGUUCCGAAUAAUAUCCUGGAAGUUAUCAGGACACCUAUUUUAAAUAUAGGCCUGAAUUUUGUAAAGUAAUAUUUAAGGUGGUCCGUGAUAAUUAAAUAAAAUGCUUAAUUCAUGUGGCUACUCAUUGUUCCUUGACUGAGUGAUUAAUAGACGGAAAGGUAGUUAAUAGCAUAAUACCUCCUAUUUAGUGUUACACGCUCAUGUGGAAGUAGUGUGAGUACAGUUCUAAGGUAAUUGCAGCCUUUGUGAAAAAUGUAAAAUAUAAAAAUUACCAGGCUACCCCCAAGGGAGACAGCAGACUCUUUUUAAACCAUACAAAAAUUUAAGGCAGUUAUACAAGGUGGAAAAUUAUGUAUUUAUUUACACAAAUAUGCACAGAACACUUGUAUCUUUCAAAAGUCACACUUAAGACAUAGUAAAAGCAUGUUGUAUGAACCAUGUAUUCUUAAGGAUUGAGCAAACUGCAGGCUGCUUGCUGCCUUUUAGGUUUGCUAGUCCCUGAUCUACUUGAAACAGAUGUUGCUUGCCCCAACACUAGUUUAAUUAUAAGGGCAGCCUGUGAGAAAGUUUCAAUAGACAUUUUUCUCACCUAUAUUGCACGUUUUUCUGAAGCCCUUGUGCAAGUGUGUGUGCCAUGUGUAGUUCUAUUUACAUAUAAACGCUACUUUAAAAGUUUAUCAAAAUCAUGAGUUUUUACAAAAGUUUUUAAUGCUCUUCUGCAUUAUAUGCAGCAUUGCAAAUCUGCAAAGUAGUAAAACUAUAAAGCACCUUUAGGUUUGCACCAGUUAUUACAGAAAUGGGGAUUUGUGAAAAGGAUGUAAUUUGAUGUAGAAGGGCAAAGUCCUUUAAUGACUGGCAUUCAAGAGGAUUACUUAAAACAAUUUGUAAGUUCAUGCUAACCUCUUCCCUAUAUUUAUACUACUGGGACCUGGGGAAGGAUCCAUGACAUGGAAGUAUCUUGAGUGUGCCUUUUAAAUUUGAGCAUUACUGCUAAGAAUGUUCUGUAAAGGUGCAUAGUUAAGCAGCUAUCCCUUAACUCUUGGAGAAAUAGCCAUAGGGAAACCAAUCAUUUAGGUAGGAGAACCAUGGGGAAAAAAAUCAGCAUUUUUUCUGGAGUUUGGAAUCAGUUUCACCAACUGGUCUCACUUUGAGGCAAGCCUGUUUUCCCCCAUUUGAAAACAAGGGCUACUACCAUAAGAUUUACUGGCCUUUUGCAAAUUGUCAGUGAUGUGCAAAGCUGCCUAAUGCAGUGCCUGGCAUAUGUUAUAACUGCUGUAUGUAUUAGAACUUUUCAAUGUGUAGGCCAGGAAAGCAUUUUGACUAGUAUAUUUUAAGAUUGGAUUGUAUCAGGUUGGGCUUGGGAAAACCUGCAGGUAUAAGUCAGUUACAGGGAAGUGUCAGUGGGUGGCACUCUUACAUCAUGGUCGGGGAACGUGGACUAUGAUGAGGUGCUUGUUAAAAGCAAAUAUAGUAGAUAUGUUAAUGUGUUGGAUAAAAUAGGUUGUAUGUCCAGCUGGCAUUUAGUUACCAGAAAUCCUUUCAAAUUUUGCUAGUUUAUACGCUGUAGGUAGAAAGUAUUUUUAUCUUAUGGUUUCUGUAGCACUUGGUACUCAACAAGGAUACUUGUUUCCAAAUAUCAGAUCACUUUGAGAAUAUAUUGUGACAGGCAGAUGUCCUUGAGGCUUUACUACUCCUAUUCAGGCCUAAAAGUUUAUAGUGGAAUUCUUUAACCACUGAUUUCCUCACUUGACAAAGGCUACAGAGAAUAUGAAGAUUUCUUGUCAAGUCUUUUGAAAAGACCUAAGCAUAAAUAUGCCACUCAUGAGUGUAGUAAAGGGUACCGCAUUUAUGUCAAAUGUGGGUAUUUAAUAUGAUUUCAGACACCACUGAUUCAAUUAAAAGGGGUUCUCAGUUCAAAUGUAAAAAUGAUCUUUUGUAAAAUCAGCAUAGAAUGAUUUUGAGAAAUAGGUAGGGGAUAGAUGAGGCUUAGAAUAAGUCACUCCAGUGAAAUUAGGGUAGAAAAUGUUCAUUUAAGGAUUAUCACUUCCACUACACUGAGGCCUCUGAAAAUGUUCACAAAUUUCUCAAAAGCAGCAGGGGGUACACAAUUUUUUACCACAACACAAAGCAAAAACAGAUCUUGCCAUUUGUUGUCAUCUCUGCUGAGUGCUAAUAGUGGGGGUUCAAAGUUUUCCAUUUGUUUAAAUGCUGCUUUGAAGUUUCCAUGAAGAAUUACAGUUUGGUGACACUUUUUAUCCAAGGUACAAAGGCUGAGACUUUGGUAUAAACACCAGGAGAAUCCUUGACU
rnacentral:lncRNA from 1 species